GUGCCAGCAGCCGCGGUAAUACGUAGGGUGCAAGCGUUAAUCGGAAUUACUGGGCGUAAAGCGUGCGCAGGUGGUUUGUUAAGACAGUUGUGAAAUCCCCGGGCUCAACCUGGGAACUGCAAUUGUGACUGGCAGACUAGAGUUUGGCAGAGGGGGGUGGAAUUCCUGGUGUAGCAGUGAAAUGCGUAGAUAUCAGGAGGAGCACCGAUGGCGAAGGCAGCCCCCUGGGCCAUGACUGACACUCAUGCACGAAAGCGUGGGGAGCAAACAGGAUUAGAUACCCUGGUAGUCCACGCCCUAAACGAUGUCAACUAGUUGUUGGGUCUUCAUUGACUUAGUAACGUAGCUAACGCGUGAAGUUGACCGCCUGGGGAGUACGGCCGCAAGGUUAAAACUCAAAGGAAUUGACGGGGACCCGCACAAGCGGUGGAUGAUGUGGAUUAAUUCGAUGCAACGCGCAGAACCUUACC
rnacentral:rRNA from 1 species